rnacentral:lncRNA from 13 species
GGGGAGACAUGGCGGGAGACAUGGUGGUGGGGAGAGGCUAAGAUGGAGUCUGUCUGACUCACAGCUAAGAUGGAGUCAGUUAGGCAAACACAAGUUAGGCUAUCACAAGAAUCAUCACCCUGGGACCUACAUGGAGAAUUGAUACGGUCCUAAGUUAGGACAGCUACUGUGGGAAUGAAGAAGGAGAGAUGGAAUUGACAGAUGUCUGA